AGUGAACGCUGGCGGUAGGCCUAACACAUGCAGGUCGAACGGCAGCACAGUAAGAGCUUGCUCUUACGGGUGGCGAGUGGCGGACGGGUGAGGAAUACAUCGGAAUCUACUUUUUCGUGGGGGAUAACGUAGGGAAACUUACGCUAAUACCGCAUACGACCUACGGGUGAAAGCAGGGGAUCUUCGGACCUUGCGCGAUUGAAUGAGCCGAUGUCGGAUUAGCUAGUUGGCGGGGUAAAGGCCCACCAAGGCGACGAUCCGUAGCUGGUCUGAGAGGAUGAUCAGCCACACUGGAACUGAGACACGGUCCAGACUCCUACGGGAGGCAGCAGUGGGGAAUAUUGGACAUUGGGCGCAAGCCUGAUCCAGCCAUACCGCGUGGGUGAAGAAGGCCUUCGGGUUGUAAAGCCCUUUUGUUGGGAAAGAAAAGCAGCAGGUUAAUACCCCGCUGUUCUGACGGUACCCAAAGAAUAAGCACCGGCUAACUUCGUG
rnacentral:rRNA from 1 species